GCCUGAGUGGCUCAGUCGGUUAAGUGUCUGACUUCAGCUCAGGUCAUGAUCUCACAGUUCGUGGGUUCAAACCCCUCAUCGGGCU
rfam:Felis catus isolate Cinnamon breed Abyssinian chromosome C1, whole genome shotgun sequence.